rnacentral:rRNA from 1 species
AUUGAACGCUGGCGGCAGGCCUAACACAUGCAAGUCGAGCGGCAGCGGGAAAGUAGCUUGCUACUUUUGCCGGCGAGCGGCGGACGGGUGAGUAAUGCCUGGGAAAUUGCCCAGUCGAGGGGGAUAACAGUUGGAAACGACUGCUAAUACCGCAUACGCCCUACGGGGGAAAGCAGGGGACCUUCGGGCCUUGCGCGAUUGGAUAUGCCCAGGUGGGAUUAGCUAGUUGGUGAGGUAAUGGCUCACCAAGGCGACGAUCCCUAGCUGGUCUGAGAGGAUGAGCAGCCACACUGGAACUGAGACACGGGCCAGACUCCGACGGGAGGCAGCAGUGGGGAAUAUUGCACAAUGGGGGAAACCCUGAUGCAGCCAUGCCGCGUGUGUGAAGAAGGCCUUCGGGUUGUAAAGCACUUUCAGCGAGGAGGAAAGGUUGAUGCCUAAUACGUAUCAACUGUGACGUUACUCGCAGAAGAAGCACCGGCUAACUCCGCGCCAGCAGCCGCGGUAAAAC